UACGGAGGGAGCAAGCGUUACUCGGAAUUAUUGGGCGUAAAGGGCGCGUAGGCGAUUCGAUAAGUCUCAUGUGAAAUCCCAGGGCCUAACCCUGGAAUGGCAUGAGAUACUGUUGGAUUUGAGUUCCGGAGAGGAAGGCAGAAUUCCCGGUGUAGCGGUGAAAUGCGUAGAUAUCGGGAGGAAUACCAGUGGCGAAGGCGGCCUUCUGGACGGAUACUGACGCUGAGGCGCGAAAGCCAGGGGAGCAAACGGG
rnacentral:rRNA from 1 species